rnacentral:rRNA from 1 species
CCCUUAGAUGUUCUGGGCCGCACGCGUGCUACACUGAGUGGAUCAGCGGGUCAGGUUGCGCGAAAGCGUUUCCUAAUCUUUAAAUCCGCUCGUGAUGGGGAUUGACGGUUGCAAUUUUCUGUCAUGAACGAGGAAUACCUUGUAAGCGCGGGUCAUCAUCCCGCGCUGAAUACGUCCCUGCCCUUUGUACACACCGCCCGUCGCUCCUACCGAUUGAGUGGUCCGGUGAGGCUUUGGGAUCUGAGCGGAAAGAGCGUUUCGCUGUUUCUGCUCGGAAAACUCAGUCGAACCUUAUCAUUUAGAGGAAGGAGAAGUAGUAACA